GCGCUCAUAGCUCAGCUGGAUAGAGCACUUGGCUACGAACUAAGGGGUCGGGAGUUCGAAGUCUCUCUGAGCGACACCA
rnacentral:tRNA from 1 species